GUACGUCUGUUAUGAUCCUACAUCGCAACGAAUUCAAAUUUCUCGUAAUGUUAAAUUUUUCGAACCGGACCGAAUCGAUUCGCGCCUACCUCUAAUGGUGGGACUCAAAAAUGGUACGUCUGUUAUGAUCCUACAUCGCAACGAAUUCAAAUUUCUCGUAAUGUUAAUUUUUUUUUGACAAACAAUCAUUCUUCUGUUCAAAAACUGUUGUUUUCCCUUGUGUUCUUUGUCUUACCUGAUUUCCCUUUAGAACCAUCUCGGUACAAACCCGGCUAUGUUUACACUGCAGGGAUGCUGUAUCUAUCACUAAUCUAGAUCUUCUUUCUUAGACGACGGUCCUUCCCAGCCCUUCUGAUCCUCCAACUACGACGCCUGAUGAUUUGUCGCCUCCUGUCGCUCUUCGUCGUACUUCUCGUGUUUCUUGACCACUAGAUAGGUAUGGUUUUUCCACCUAUAGUUCUAUAUCUACUACACUUAAUUCGAUUUCUAUUUCUUCCUCCUAUAGACAAGCUAUGGAACAUGAAUGUUGGCAAUAGGCGAUGAAAGCAGAACUCGAGUCUGCACCUGAUGAUUUGUCGCCUCCUGUCGCUCUUCGUCGUACUUCUCGUGUUUCUUGACCACCAGAUAGGUAUGGUUUUUCCACCUAUAGUUCUAUAUCUACUACACUUAAUUCGAUUUCUAUUUCUUCCUCCUAUAGACAAGCUAUGGAACAUGAAUGUUGG
rnacentral:lncRNA from 1 species